rnacentral:rRNA from 1 species
GAGUUUGAUCAUGGCUCAGAGCGAACGCUGGCGGCAGGCUUAACACAUGCAAGUCGAGCGGGCGUAGCAAUACGUCAGCGGCAGACGGGUGAGUAACGCGUGGGAACGUACCUUUUGGUUCGGAACAACACAGGGAAACUUGUGCUAAUACCGGAUAAGCCCUUACGGGGAAAGAUUUAUCGCCGAAAGAUCGGCCCGCGUCUGAUUGGCUAGUUGGUGAGGUAAUGGCUCACCAAGGCGACGAUCAGUAGCUGGUCUGAGAGGAUGAUCAGCCACAUUGGGACUGAGACACGGCCCAAACUCCUACGGGAGGCAGCAGUGGGGAAUAUUGGACAAUGGGCGCAAGCCUGAUCCAGCCAUGCCGCGUGAGUGAUGAAGGCCCUAGGGUU